rnacentral:rRNA from 1 species
CGGUAACGAUGGAAAGCUUGCUUUCCAGGCGACGAGUGGCGGACGGGUGAGUAAUACAUAGGAAUCUGCCCAGUAGCGGGGGACAACCUGGUGAAAACCAGGCUAAUACCGCAUACGCCCCCUGGUUUAAUCACUGGGGGGGAAAGCGGGGGACCUUCGGGCCUCGCACUAUUGGAUGAGCCUAUGUCUGAUUAGCUAGUUGGUAGGGUAAAAGCCUACCAAGGCGACGAUCAGUAGGUGGUCUGAGAGGAUGAUCAGCCACAUGGGGAAUGAAACACGGCUUGACUCCUACGGGAGGCUGAAUGGGCUGAAUGGG